GUGCAAGCAGUUGGUUAGCAUGUCUCUGCCCCUUCCUGAACAGCUACUGGGAAUGCUUUGCAGGCCUGCCAGCUUCAGGAAAAUUCAGCAGCUGGAAGGGAGAAAUAUGGGACAUAAACAGCCCAUAUUUAAACCCUUGAUAAUUUCCUGAAAAGCUGUGGAGAAGAGAAAUAUAAAUUCCCAGCUGGAGCUGUCGUGUCUUUCUCCGUUCCCUACUACCUCAAAACAACAUGUGCCCAGUUUCCACAAUCUAUCUGUAGUCCAUCCUCUGCAACCCAUUUGAGAACCUACUCACAUAGUAAAAUUCUUUCUGGAACCAGCAGGAAUGGCUGUGGAUAGGUGUAAACAUCCUUCUGAGCCCUUUUAGACUUAAUCUUCUUUCCAAUGACCUGGUUUUGUGGCAUGGUCCCUAAAAUGGAUUGAGUCCUGACCUACAAAGUAUUACUUUUAUACAAGUAACCUAAAGUGGGCCUGCAAAGUGGACAGAGCAGAACAGGCUGUUGUGGCUGAGGAAAAGGUAAAAGCAGCAGAACAAAAAUUUACUGUUACAAAGCAGCUGAGAAACUCCAUGGCUUGCAUUGAACAGACCUAAAAAAGUCACCAGAAAAUCACUCUGAAGUUGUCCUUUCCAACUUUGACAGGAACCAGAGAAACUGUGAGUUGCAAUUCCCAGUUUUCUUACCUCUGUCCUUCAGCCAUCCAAUUCCAACACUGUGCAUAACUCACAAUAUUGGCAAGACUGGUCUGGAAAUCCAUCAGACUCAAGCCUGCUAGAGGUGGUUGAGAGCUGCCUGCUCCUGUGACAAAUUGGUUUGGCAUUGCCUGGAGCACCUGAAGAAGGAAGGUGGUUAGAAGGUGCACAAGAUUCUGGGUGCAGGUGAUAUCUUGGCAACAAGAACCAGAUCAUGCACACAACUCAUUGUUAACCCAUCCAAACCCCAAAAUUCAGUUAUAUUUGCUUGUGGCUUUUAUGAAUAUGCAGUUUCCAUUAACGGUAUCUGCAUCGCUCCAUUACUUUCAUGGAUAAGUCCUAAAAGCAUCACAAAGAAACUCACCACAUGGGUGAAAAGAUAAAACAUAUUGACAGUUUUCCUUUCUUUUAAAUUCUUCAAUUACUUGUGCUAUUCCUAUUUUUAAAUUCUAUUUAUCAACAUAUAAAUCUGAGGAAGAGAGUGCAUAAAAAAACUUGGAAAUAUUUAAAAAAACAUAAAGGGGGCAAUGUGGAUUAUAAACUAAGUAUGAGAAAUAUGCAUAAUGUUUUUUGUGGCAACAAGAUGGACUUUAGAGUGGAAGACUGUCCAUUAGCUAAUGCUUUCAGAAGACACAAACUGUGGAUUGUAUUUUCAGCUUAGUUUUCUGGGAGCUGGAUUCAAUGGGUUUGUUUUUCAUGCAUAACCUCCAAAUUUAUGAGAGUUUUGUUUUCAUUUAUUUUUAUUACUAAGCAAAAUGAGCUAUGCAUAAAUAACAGAAGAAACCAAGUUUUCUGGAAGAUUUUCAAAUAAGGACAGCUUGGAAUGGAAGGACCACACACCAGCUGCCAUACAAACAGGUUCACAUUUAACAACCUGAAGUUCUUCACAUUUCCAGAGUGAAUUCUUGGUUUAACCUGUUGUAGCUCCUCUGCAAUGAUGACUGACACUGGACACUUGACAGCAAGAUGUGAUCUGAAAUAUGCAAAAUACUUAAAUAAUAUAGCAGAGGGAGGGAAAUCGUGGCAAGCCCUGGACAGUUAGAUUCAUCUCCUUGAGUACAUUGAAGCUACCUACAUGUACAGAGUUAAGUACCCUGCAAAGAUUAAGCAUAUACAAAUUAAAGUGAAAUUCUAUAUCUACUAAAAUUCAAGGAAACUUUGUUAUGGACUGAAAUGAAGUGAGUUUUUCCCUUAGACCAGACAGAAAAAUAAUUUAAGAGUAUUAUAGGAGAAAAAGAUGUAUGAUUCAGGGUGUUUAGAGGGAAAAAAAUUGAGCAAAUUUCUGUCCUGAGACAUAGUGAAGUGAAUAGAUCUCCACAAGUGACAGUAAAUGGCUCAAAGAGCUGCUGUUGAAGGGAAGGAAAAGACACUGGUGCUUUAUUUUGUCCCAGUCCGUACUAGUUCAUGAUGCCCACCUUUGCAGUUGUGCACUUGGAAGACAGCAGCCACAGUAACACUAAAUGCCUAAGAAUUCAGGUGAAGUCCUUCUUUGGACUUGCAAAACAAAAAGCAGAAAAGAGUGACUAUAUUGUCUUGCUUGCUGGAUACUCUUACCCUGCAUGUGCUCUUCCUGGAUCUUAAUUCAGUUGUGGUCCAUUGAUCACUGGCUCUUAAAAAUUUUGUCAGUUUUUACUAUAUGGAAGAAAAUGCUUUGUCUCAUUUUAUAUCACCUCCCUAACAAAUGAGUUGAUUGUCUCCCAAUUCUUAUGUUGGAGUAAAAGAGAACAAUGAUUCUCCAAUUAGGGUUCCCAUGGGUUUUACAGGAAGUUAGGGUUUCUUUUGUAGAGUCAGACCCAGAAAGCAGGAAUGAACAAUUAUCUGAAUUAGUGAAUCGUGUCACUAAAUCUAGAAUCCAUUGGUCUCUCUAACUUAGCCUUUCAGAGCAUGUGCAUGUUACUUCUGGGACACUGAUGUAGUUGGUAUCAGUUCCAAUAAUACAAAUAUUUAUACCAAAAUACUAAGCACUAGCAGAUCAAAAUGCGUAUUUAUGGCUUUAUAUUUUGAAGAAACCUUGCAUAUUAACCAACAAUUGCAUAACUUAAUG